UGUUAAAUCCUGCUCUAAUUCCGUUACCAGACACGACUUAAUUCCAGGAUUUAAGGAAAAACAGAGGAAAAACGGGAUUUAAGAACCUGCAGGAUUUGGGAUUUUUAGAUUAAUUCCUGCUACCAAACAGAUCCAAGAUAUUGCUCAAAUUCUGCCACCUCCAUCCUCUUCUUCCAGUUAAUUGUCCAGGCCUUGGCCAGCCAUUCAUCCCGGGCAACCACCAUCGCCAUAGACACUCGCCGCUUCUUUUCAUCGGUUCUACCACGCUUUAUCCUUCUUAGGUCACAAUGAAGCUUGACGUGGAUGCUUUGAGAUAUCUCUCUAAAGAAGAUUUUAGAGUUUUAACCGCAGUCGAGAUGGGGAUGAGAAAUCAUGAAAUUGUUCCAGCAGAGCUUGUCGAGCGGAUCGCUCGCCUCAAGCAUGGGGGAACCUACAAGGUGUUGAGGAAUCUCUUAAAGCACAAGCUUCUACAUCAUGACUCCUCCAAAU